AUUUGAAUUUGAAUGGUAACAAUUCCGUUAAAUCCUCGUCCUCGUUUUGAACGUCUCACUCAUGGCCGAUCAGUGUUCUUUCUGAUUAGCUCUUAAUUGAGAUCACCUGUCACGCACCCCUUUAUUAAAGGUGAACACAAUGGGUUUGAUUUACUUUUCGCAUCGGCCUGUGUCAAUCGAGGUUGAGUUUAGUGAGGGUUGAAAGUUUUCGAUCUAGAUUGCAGAUCACUAUUGUCACUUUAUGCAAACUGAAAGUAUGCGUUGUUGCGUGUUUGUUUUUGUGGGCAUUUGACUGAACAGCCCUGACAAAUAUUGCUACCAACAUGGCACUUUGAAACAGACCACCGCAGUGUUAGAUGACUGACAAGAUCUAUGGGGGGGCCCCCUUUGGGCCCCCCCAUACCAACUUAGUCUUCAAAGGAAUCUAGUGCCAUGGGACUCCAGUGUCUUCAAAACAUCCUCGGAAUACAUGGUGUAUGAAUGGUCCACCGAAGGGUUGAUCUGGAAGCCACCACGGUCCACGCAGUAAUCUGCUGCGUGGGCCGUAGUGGCUUCCAGAGCCAUCUUUCGGUCUUGGUCCGAAAGACAGUUGCCCUUCAAUGUAGCAGGCUACGGGUUUCUGAAGAAGCCUGCUUUACGUAGCAUUGGAGUACAAAUAGUGUGCAAAAUGCUCAUGUAAUUGCACUAGCACUAGUAACCUGUAGAUUAGCUUAGUUUAACGUCAUUCCGUGCUGUCUGUCAAAUGUGUGGCUUACUUUAAGUCCACAAGGCCCUCUGGUAAACCACGUUGGAACACCCCUGGACAAGGUGAUUAGUCACUGGGUGUGUGCUAAAGUUUUGUUCCAUUUUUCACUAGUUGGUUAAGGUUUGGUAGAAUUGUUUGGAUGCUAGCGACGUGAUGGCGUAUGUACAAGAGCCUACCGUGGCCAGGCCACAGUUGCGACGGCCAGAUGGCCUAGUGUGAGUGCAACCUUGAUUGCAUUUGUAUACUGUUUACCAUUGGAUGUUUAUGCAAUUUGGCUUAAUUCAUCCGCAGUAAAGCUGCAUUUGACUAUUACUAGUUUUGUAUAGGCUUUCAGUGAUGUUGCUAGGUACGCGUCCUGCGUCCCUGACGCAUUAAAAUCUGAAAGGACGCACUAAACUCACUAUCCAUGCGUCCCGGGGACGCAUCUCAUUUUCCCCAUGAAAAACGAUACAUAGUGAACAUUAAACAACUCGUGUUUAAUCACAGUAACUGGCCAAAGAAACCUUCAUGUGAGCAGAUCGGACAAGCGCCGUUUCAACCCUCUGCGCAUCUAUU
ensembl:lncRNA